rnacentral:rRNA from 1 species
GACGAACGCUGGCGGCGCGCCUAACACAUGCAAGUCGAACGGAGCUUAGAGAGCUUGCUUUUUAAGCUUAGUGGCGAACGGGUGAGUAACGCGUGAGUAACCUGCCCUAGAGUGGGGGACAACAGUUGGAAACGACUGCUAAUACCGCAUAAGCCCACGGUACCGCAUGGUACUGAGGGAAAAGGAUUUAUUCGCUUUAGGAUGGACUCGCGUCCAAUUAGCUAGUUGGUGAGGUAACGGCCCACCAAGGCGACGAUUGGUAGCCGGACUGAGAGGUUGAACGGCCACAUUGGGACUGAGACACGGCCCAGACUCCUACGGGAGGCAGCAGUGGGGGAUAUUGCACAAUGGGGGAAACCCUGAUGCAGCGACGCCGCGUGGAGGAAGAAGGUUUUCGGAUUGUAAACUCCUGUCGUUAGGGACGAUAAUGACGGUACCUAACAAGAAAG